GAGAAGCGAGCCUGCGAAGGCAAGCGGAUCUCUUAAAGCUGUUCUCAGUUCGGACUGCAGUCUGCAACUCGACUGCACGAAGCUGGAAUCGCUAGUAAUCGCGGAUCAGCACGCCGCGGUGAAUACGUUCCCGGGCCUUGUACACACCGCCCGUCACACCAUGGGAGUUUGUAACGCCCAAAGUCGGUGGCCUAACCUUUAUGGAGGGAGCCGCCUAAGGCGGGACAGAUGACAGGGGUGAAGUCGUAACAAGGUAAC
rnacentral:rRNA from 1 species